UCGAAGUAAAACGUGUUCUCAAACUAAUCGUGUUUUAUUUAAAUAAUAAUAUCAAAGCUAACCUGAAACACUAAUUAUUAAAUAGUGUGUUCAGUAUGAAUUUCACCAAAGUUUCUAGAAAUAGCAACUAAUAAUCCUGUUGAUUCCUGGUUUACAAAAAAAUUUUGUAGCUUAAACUUGAUGUGGAGUGAAACAUAUCAAAACAGUCUUAUCCUGGGAAAGUGAUUAGUAGAUGCAUGCAUCCCCUCAGAUUUAAACAUUGCUUAUAAGAAUCAUGGGUCGUAUUGAUUAAUGGUAAAUUUGCCAUCUAAUAACCUGUACCGAUCAGUGUAAAUGUUAAAUAAGGACCCGAAGUACGUUUACGAAAUGGGAGUUUUGGUUUGUUUUGCAUUAUGAACGAAGGAUGGCCUAUUCCACAAACAGAUCAUGUUCUCCCGACGACGCAACUUCAGCAAUUAAACGGUUUAUUACUCGUAAUUGUCAGCAUUAUUAACUGUUAUUAGUUUGUCGCCGUGGUGUAGAAUAGUGAUUUGCAUGAAAUAAAAGGGUUCGAUUUAAUGGUGUCGAUUUUAAGUAUGGUAUUAUUUGUAGGUUCCUUCCAACAUUACUGCUAUUAUUAGGCCUUAAAUUUGAAAAUAAAUC